rnacentral:rRNA from 1 species
UCGAUUUAUGUCUCGUAGGUGACCUGCGGAGGGAUCAUUACAAGUGACCCCGGUCUAACCACCGGGAUGUUCAUAACCCUUUGUUGUCCGACUCUGUUGCCUCCGGGGCGACCCUGCCUUCGGGCGGGGGCUCCGGGUGGACACUUCAAACUCUUGCGUAACUUUGCAGUCUGAGUAAAUUUAAUUAAUAAAUUAAAACUUUUAACAACGGAUCUCUUGGUUCUGGCAUCGAUGAAGAACGCAGCGAAAUGCGAUAAGUAAUGUGAAUUGCAGAAUUCAGUGAAUCAUCGAAUCUUUGAACGCACAUUGCGCCCCCUGGUAUUCCGGGGGGCAUGCCUGUUCGAGCGUCAUUUCACCACUCAAGCCUCGCUUGGUAUUGGGCAACGCGGUCCGCCGCGUGCCUCAAAUCGACCGGCUGGGUCUUCUGUCCCCUAAGCGUUGUGGAAACUAUUCGCUAAAGGGUGCUCGGGAGGCUACGCCGUAAAACAAACCCAUUUCUAAGGUUGACCUCGGAUCAGGUAGGGAUACCCGCUGAACUUAAGCAUAUCAAA